AUUGAACGCUGGCGGCAGGCUUAACACAUGCAAGUCGAGCGAGCGGCGGACGGGUGAGUAAUGUCUGGGAAACUGCCUGAUGGAGGGGGAUAACUACUGGAAACGGUAGCUAAUACCGCAUACCAUCAGAUGUGCCCAGAUGGGAUUAGCUAGUAGGUGGGGUAAUGGCUUACCUAGGCGACGAUCCCUAGCUGGUACGAGAGGAUGACAGGCCACACUGGAAAUGAGACAGGGUCUAGACUCCUCAGGUAGGCAGCAGUAGGGAAUAUUGCACAAUGGGCGUCAGCCGGAUGCAGCCAGGCCGCGUGUGUGAAGAAGGCCUUCGGGUUGAAAAGCACUUUCAGCGAGGAGGCGUUACUCGCAGAAGAAGCACCGGCUAACUCAGUGCCAGCAGCCGCGGUAAUAC
rnacentral:rRNA from 1 species